GAUGAACGCUGGCGGCGUGCCUAAUACAUGCAAGUCGAGCGAACAGACGAGGAGCUUGCUCCUCUGACGUUAGCGGCGGACGGGUGAGUAACACGUGGAUAACCUACCUAUAAGACUGGGAUAACUUCGGGAAACCGGAGCUAAUACCGGAUAAUAUAUUGAACCGCAUUGUUCAAUAGUGAAAGACGGUUUUGCUGUCACUUAUAGAUGGAUCCGCGCCGCAUUAGCUAGUUGGUACGGUAACGGCUUACCAAGGCAACGAUGCGUAGCCGACCUGAGAGGGUGAUCGGCCACACUGGAACUGAGACACGGUCCAGACUCCUACGGGAGGCAGCAGUAGGGAAUCUUCCGCAAUGGGCGAAAGCCUGACGGAGCAACGCCGCGUGAGUGAUGAAGGUCUUCGGAUCGUAAAACUCUGUUAUUAGGGAAGAACAAAUGUGUAAGUAACUAUGCACGUCUUGACGGUACCUAAUCAGAAAGCCACGGCUAACUACGUG
rnacentral:rRNA from 1 species